GGGGAAUAUUGCGCAAUGGGGGCAACCCUGACGCAGCAAUGCCGCGUGAAGGAUGAAGGCUUUCGAGUCGUAAACUUCUGUCUAGAGGGAUGAAAAUUUGACAGUACCUCUGGAGGAAGCCCCGGCUAACUACGUGCCAGCAGCCGCGGUAAUACGUAGGGGGCAAGCGUUGUCCGGAAUCACUGGGCGUAAAGCGCGCGUAGGUGGUCUAGUAAGUCAGAUGUUAAAAUGCGGGGCUCAACCCCGUAAUGCAUUUUGAAACUGCUGGACUUGAGGACAGGAGAGGAAAGUGGAAUUCCUAGUGUAGCGGUGAAAUGCGUAGAUAUUAGGAGGAACACCAGUGGCGAAGGCGGCUUUCUGGACUGUACCUGACACUGAGGUGCGAAAGCGUGGGGAGCAAACA
rnacentral:rRNA from 2 species